AAAAACAAACCUUGGAACAUAUAGUCUUGCUGAUGAAAGGAUAUAAACGACAACCUUUUCUCUGCUUGUAUUCCCUGUCAUUUGAAGACAUCUACUGAUAUAGAAAGCAUUUUGUAAGAGCGGGAAAGGUUCUUAGGUUAUAUGAUCGAUCUAAAAUUCUUAAGAUUGAGGUGAUACGAAGUUGACAAUGUAAUGGGAAGAGAUGGAUAAAAUGUAGAUUGUGUAUAUAUAAUCCGACGGUCUGAAAGGGUUUAUUUGAAUUCCUGUGUUGUCAUUUUAUUCAUUAAUGAAACACGAUUGUAGGUGGAAAAUACAAGGGCAUACAUUAUUUGUUCUUUAUUUGGACUAUGUUUGUCUGUACAUCAAGCUUAAAAUGUGCAUAUGUAUAACAAGAAAUCAUUUUUUUUAAUUUUGAAACUAAAAGCUUGUAAUAAGUAAUGUCUAUUAACACUCUGCCACUAGUGAAAAUCAUUUGCAUAUAUUGAAAUGUCAUCUUGUAAUAACAAAGUAUUGCAAUGUAUGAUACUAGAAAGAGAUAGAUUAGACGAUUGAAUAAAAAACAGAUCUGUUGAAAAAUGGAUGUGUCCGAAAAGAUGAAAAACACCGAAUAAGUUAACGUUAUUGAUCAAUCAUUGGUUAGAAAAUACACCG
rnacentral:lncRNA from 1 species